rnacentral:rRNA from 1 species
UACGUAGGGUGCGAGCGUUGUUCGGAAUCACUGGGCGUAAAGGGCGUGUAGGCGGUCCGCUAAGUCUGAUGUGAAAGCCCGGGGCUCACCCCCGGAAGGGCAUUGGAAACUGGCGGACUCGAGUCCCGGAGAGGAGGGUGGAAUUCCCGGUGUAGCGGUGAAAUGCGUAGAUAUCAGGAGGAACACCGGUGGCGAAGGCGGGUCUCUGGGCCGAUACUGACGCUGAGGAGCGAAAGCGUGGGGAGCGAACAGG